ensembl:lncRNA novel transcript
CGCCGAGCCUCGGAGAGCAGGGGCUUUGCUUUUCCGGCUGAGGUGUUCAAUAAACAUCUCUUAAACAAAGGAGUGCGCAAGUGAGAUAAUAUAAGGGGGAUGCCCAACUAUACAACAAAGAGUUGCCAAACAUUUCUCUGGAGCAAAUAAAUGGUGUGAUGGAUGGAACUAACUGGAUCACCAACCUGUGAGAGAUGGCUGGUUCACUGGCCUUGGCCUCCUCGGGCCAUGACAUUAAUUCACUGGCUCCACCCUCCACCCUGUUCUAUGGCCCUGGGCGUGACUUGCUCUUGCCCCUUGCCUUCUGUUUGGAUCCUGCCAAUGAGGACUCCUAGCAGGAGAUGGGGGCUCUCAUAUUUAACUGAAAGGCUCAGCUCCACGCAGCGUUUCUGUCUCCAGCCCACACAGCACGAUGAGAUAAAGACUAGAGGCUGCUCACUGCUGAGAGUGGACCAUCCAGCUCAUUUGGUCACAUAAUUUCCAGCCAGCCACCUUAUGGGCAAGAUUUUGGCUCACCUGUAAGCUAUUAGCUGGAAAAUACUGGCUUCAUGAAAUGGCUUGGAAGAUUUGGAGGCAACCUAAAUGUCCAUCAACAGAUGAAUGGAUAAAGAACAACAGGGUGACUAAAGUCAAUAAUAAUUUAAUUAUACAUUUA